rnacentral:rRNA from 1 species
AUGCAGUCGAACGAGAUCCAAUGUGUAGCAAUACACAGGAAGAUCUAGUGGCGAACGGGUGAGGAACACGUGAGAAACGUACCCCAGACUUUGGGAUAACAGUUCGAAAGGACUGCUAAUACCAAAUAACGUCGGAAGUCCGCAUGGACAUCUGACGAAAGGGAUUCCGGUUUGGGAGCGUCUCGCGGACCUAUCAGCUAGUUGGAGGGGUAACGGCCCACCAAGGCAACGACGGGUAGCUGGUCUGAGAGGAUGGUCAGCCACACUGGGACUGAGACACGGCCCAGACUCCUACGGGAGGCAGCAGUGGGGAAUCUUGCGCAAUGGGCGAAAGCCUGACGCAGCAACGCCGCGUGCGGGAAGAAGGCUUUCGGGCUGUAAACCGCUUUCAGUAGGAACGAAACUGACGGUACCUACAGAAGAAGGAGCGGCCAACUAUGUGCCAGCAGCCGCGGUGACACAUAGGCUCCAAGCGCUGUCCGGAUUUAUUGGGCGUAAAGAGCUCGUAGGCGGUUGAGUAAGUCGGGUGUGAAAACUUUGGGCUUAACCCAAAGAUGCCACUCGAUACUGUUCAACUUGAGUUUGGUAGGGGAGUGGGGAAUUCCUUGUGUAGCGGUGAAAUGCGCAGAUAUAAGGAGGAACACCGGUGGCGAAGGCGCCACUCUGGGCCAAUACUGACGCUGAGGAGCGAAAGCGUGGG